rnacentral:rRNA from 1 species
CGGGGUGGAGUAAUGUCUGGGAAACGUGCCUGAUGGAGGGGGAUAACUGCUGGAAACGGUAGCUAAUACCGCAUAACGUCGCAAGACCAAAGAGGGGGACCGUUCGGGCCUCUUGCCAUCGGAUGUGCCCAGAUGGGAUUAGCUAGUAGGUGGGGUAACGGCUCACCUAGGCGACGAUCCCUAGCUGGUCUGAGAGGAUGCCAGCCACACUGGAACUGAGACACGGUCCAG